rnacentral:rRNA from 1 species
UACGUAGGGGUGCGACGUUGUCCGGAAUUAUUGGGCGUAAAGGGCUCGUAGGCGGGUUUGUCGCGUCGGGAGAUGAAAUCCAUUGGCUUAACUGGUGGCUUGCUUUCGAUUACGGGCAGACUGGAGGUAUGCAGGGGAGAACGGAAUUCCUGGGUUGUAGGCGGUGAAAUGACGCAGAGUAUCGUAAGGAAGGAACCAGUGGCGAAGGCGAAAUCGUCUGGACAGUUACUGACA